GACGAACGCUGGCGGCGUGCUUAACACAUGCCAGUCGAACGGAAAGGCCCUGCUUUUGUGGGGUGCUCGAGUGGCGAACGGGUGAGUAACACGUGAGUAACCUGCCCUUGACUUUGGGAUAACUUCAGGAAACUGGGGCUAAUACCGGAUAGGAGCUCCUGCUGCAUGGUGGGGGUUGGAAAGUUUCGGCGGUUGGGGAUGGACUCGCGGCUUAUCAGCUUGUUGGUGGGGUAGUGGCUUACCAAGGCUUUGACGGGUAGCCGGCCUGAGAGGGUGACCGGCCACAUUGGGACUGAGAGAGGGCCCAGACUCCUACGGGAGGCAGCAGUGGGGAAUAUUGCACAGUGGGCGGAAGCCGGAUGCAGCAACCCCGCGUGCGGGAUGACGGCCUUCGGGUUGUAAACCGCUUUCGCCUGUGACGAAGCGUGAGUGACGGUAAUGGGUAAAGAAGCACCGGCUAACUACGUG
rnacentral:rRNA from 1 species